CUUUAAUUGAGGAACAUCUCUAAAGCAAUGCAGACGUCUGAUGGACAGUGGAUGGUUUCUGUCUUUUCUCUCAGAGAUUGUGGAUUAACAUGAGCCGAGGAACUGACUGAAUGAUCACCAGGAGCCUCAGGAGGAGGACAGGGUUCCAGCCAGAGGACUGCUGCUGCUGGUGGUGAUGAUGAUGUCUCUCCCAUGGAGGUGGACCCUCCAGAGACUAUUCAUAGCCAGGACCAGGAGGAACCGAUGGACUGGGAACCUGCAGGGACUCUGAGUUCACCCUCAGCCAGCUCCUCUCUUUACAACCACAUAUCGAUGUCGAUCAGUGUCGGUGAAACUGUGACAUUUGCACUCGGCUGCAGAAUCUCCUGAAGAUCAGAGACCGUAAAGAGAGCAGGUGGAUCUUCAUCACACCAUCGGAUCAGCUGUUUGCCAUGUUGAGAAAUAAACAUUUCGU